rnacentral:lncRNA from 1 species
UGAUCUCCAGCCUCUGCCCCUCCACAUUCCCUCUCCCAACUCUUCAGGACUCAGGGAUCCGGGGAGCCUUCCCUCGUUCUCUCUCGAAGAACAAAUGAAAUUUCACAGUUUACCGUCUGGGCGAUGUUAGAUCAGCUUGUGUCUUAAACUUGGUCUUGAGAGGGUGACCUAGAAAGAAAUUGCCCAAAGAAUGCGAACUAUUCACUUAUGAAUGUGAAUUAUCUGCCUACAAAGGAUGCAUUUUCUGGGGAAAACUCUUGUCAUUUCAACAGGAACAACGAAAUUGGGCAAAAGGGAUUCACUGCUGAAUUCCCUGAUAAGCUGCCUCAGUUUCCUCACUGCAACUGAGAAAAGAAAUGUCUGCAAAGACAAAGAUUAAAACAAGCAUGGUUUCGUUUGGCCACUUUUUGAUAUCCCUUUUCCACAUGGCUGAAUACCAUCAGUUCACCAUUCCAGGCAGACAGCAAGGGGCAAAGUUUGGCAGGAAAUGCCAGAAAGCAGCAUCCCACCAAUGUUCUGAUCUGUCCGCUGUGCCUCUGACGUCAGUCGCACAAAGGGUAAAAACCAGCUCAUCAGCUUUCCCGAUGGCUGCAUAGCCUUGGAAGUGGCUGUUUGAAAGACGGUUUUAAGAGACCUGUAAAAGUGAGUCCACGGACUGGGCUCCAAGAUGAUACCACUGGAGGACUCAGCACCUGGUUUUCUUGGCCAGGGCCCCUCAGAUGCCUUCCACGUAGGCUCCACAGCAAAGAACCCCACUCCUUACCUUUUCAGCUGGGAAAAGGGUGUGAGAGGGUGGUUCUGAUGACAGCAGUAGGUUUAACCCUACAAAAUCAUGGGUUAAGCAACUGCUAAAUGUAAAGAUCCACCAAAUCUAUCUGUUCUUUGUGGUCAAUGUCUGUCCAGCAGCUGCUGGCUCUAAAGGAACCACCAAGAUGGUACCCCAGCCUUGUUAGGGCAACUUGUGGAAAGCCAUUGAGCCUGGACAACAGGAAAUGAUUCUCCUUUGAACUCAGUCCUUAUGGGGGGAGACUUGGCUGAGUUUUUCUGUGAUCUGCCAGGCUGGGGUAGGG